UGGGGAAUAUUGCACAAUGGGCGCAAGCCUGAUGCAGCAACGCCGCGUGAACGAUGAAGGUCUUCGGAUCGUAAAGUUCUGUUGCAGGGGAAGAUAAUGACGGUACCCUGUGAGGAAGCCCCGGCUAACUACGUGCCAGCAGCCGCGGUAAUACGUAGGGGGCUAGCGUUAUCCGGAUUUACUGGGCGUAAAGGGUGCGUAGGUGGUCCUUCAAGUCGGUGGUUAAAGGCUACGGCUCAACCGUAGUAAGCCGCCGAAACUGGAGGACUUGAGUGCAGGAGAGGAAAGUGGAAUUCCCAGUGUAGCGGUGAAAUGCGUAGAUAUUGGGAGGAACACCAGUAGCGAAGGCGGCUUUCUGGACUGCAACUGACACUGAGGCACGAAAGCGUGGGUAGCAAACAGG
rnacentral:rRNA from 2 species